AACACAGAUCUAGCCUGGUCAUGGGAGUGGGCUACACAAACAGAUCUAGCCUGGUCAUGGGAGUGGGCUAUACAACACAGAUCUAGCCUGGUCAUGGGAGUGGGCUAUACAACACAAACAGACCUUUUCCAGUACGUGACUUAUUAACCAGUUUACAUGGUGUAGUAAUUCUGCUCUCUUCAUCUGUUUCCAGCCAAUGCCUACAUAUCCACCAUCCUCUACCUCAGGACCCAGGUAUGGAGAAAACAACAAUUGGAACCAACCUCCUGCCUCCCAGCCACCUCUCCCCCUGCAAGGCCCAGGUGUUCCCAAACCCAUCCCUCCCAAGCAUUAACCCUGACAGGAACACCCCUAACCCUGACAGGAACACCCCUAACCCUGACAGGAACACCCCUAACCCUGACAGGAACACCCCUAACCCUGACAGGAACACCCCUAACCCUGACAGGAACACCCCUAACCCUGACAGGAACACCCCUAACCCUGACAGGAACACCCCUAACCCUGACAGGAACACCCCUAACCCUGACAGGAACACCCCUAACCCUGACAGGAACACCCCUAACCCUGACAGGAACACCCCUAACCCUGACAGGAACACCCCUAACGCUGACAGGAACACCCCUAACGCUGACAGGAACACCCCUAACCCUGACAGGAACACCCCUAACCCUGACAGGAACACCCCUAACCCUGACAGGAACACCCCUAACCCUGACAGGAACACCCCAGGAACACAUAAUGGGGGGCUCUUCCUUUAUUCGUUAUUGUAAAUUUCAUAUUUGUAUUUUACUCACAUUUGUAUGUUUGUUUGUUUGGAUAUCUAAAAAUAAUAAUAAUUUAAAAAACAUUUUAUUGCAGGAACAUGAUUUGGUGACAGGGACUUUUUUUAAAGAUAUUGCUUUUUACAUUAUUACUAUGGAAAUGAAGGUAACAUAUUUUGUAAUAAAAAUAUACAUAUUGUUGAUAUUGUUCAGUUCCAGAAAGGCUCAAUUUAUUUUAUGAGCGGUUUACAAGAUUUUAAAAAAAAUAUUUAAAUGUUACUCAUAAUAAAAAUUUAAUAUAAUA